GGGAAGGUGGCUCAGUGGUAGAGUGCUUGCCUUGCAUGCAUGAGGCCCUGGGUUCAAUUCCUCAGCACCCCA
rfam:Dipodomys ordii contig_56030, whole genome shotgun sequence.